GUAAGAACAGCAUGAUGUGAAAUACGAGAUGUAAAAGAGUAGAUUUAGCACCAAACCCAAAGCCUGAUUACCUCUACCAGAAAUGGGAGGACACUGAAUAGUAUGCCAAAAACGGUAGCAACAAGGCAGAACGUGAUGUCAGGGAAAGGAGACGGCUUGUCACCAGGGAUGAUAGAAAACUUAUGAAACCAGAUUUACCUUUCAAAAUAUCAUCCCUGAGCUAACAUCUUCCAAUCCUCCUCUUUUUGCUGAGGAAGACUGGCCCUGAGCUAACAGCCGUGCCCAUCUUCCUCAAUUUUACAUGUCGGAUUCCUAUCACCACAUGGCUCGAUGAGUGGUGCCGUGUCUGCACCUGGAAUCCAAACCGGAGAACCCAGGCUACCGAAGAAGAACAUGCGACCUUAACCGCUGCGCCACCGGGCCGGCCCCAGUGUGAAUUCUCAUCAAGACUUUUUGUUGUGGAUGUUAUUUCUACUAAAACACAAAAAUGGCUUUGGUAAUAUAUUAGUUAGGGUUAGGGUUCUUCAAAGAAACCGAACCAACAGGAUGUAUAUAGAGAGAGAGAGUGACUUAUUUUAAAGAAUUGGAUCAC
rnacentral:lncRNA from 1 species